UGCAGCGAUGCCGCGUGAGUGAAGAAGGCCCUUGGGUUGUAAAGCUCUUUCGUCGGGGAAGAAAAUGACUGUACCCGAAUAAGAAGGUCCGGCUAACUUCGUGCCAGCAGCCGCGGUAAUACGAAGGGACCUAGCGUAGUUCGGAAUUACUGGGCUUAAAGAGUUCGUAGGUGGUUGAAAAAGUUGGUGGUGAAAUCCCAGAGCUUAACUCUGGAACUGCCAUCAAAACUUUUCAGCUAGAGUUUGAUAGAGGAAAGCAGAAUUUCUAGUGUAGAGGUGAAAUUCGUAGAUAUUAGAAAGAAUACCAAUUGCGAAGGCAGCUUUCUGGAUCAUUACUGACACUGAGGAACGAAAGCAUGGGUAGCGAAGAGGAUUAGAUACCCUCGUAGUCCAUGCCGUAAACGAUGUGUGUUAGACGUUGGAAAUUUAUUUUCAGUGUCGCAGCGAAAGCGAUAAACACACCGCCUGGGGAGUACGACCGCAAGGUUAAAACUCAAAUGAAUUGACGGGGACCCGCACAAGUAGUGGAGCAUGUGGUUUAAUUCGAAGAUACGCGCAGAACCUUACCAACACUUGACAUGUUCGUCGCGACUUUAGGAGAUUAAAGUUUUCGGUUCGGCCGGACGAAACACAGGUGCUGCAUGGCUGUCGUCAGCUCGUGUCGUGAGAUGUUGGGUUAAGUCCCGCAACGAGCGCAACCCUCACUUUUAGUUGCCAUCAUUAANUUGGGCACUCUGAAA
rnacentral:rRNA from 1 species